rnacentral:rRNA from 1 species
UAGCCGUAAACGAUACUCGCUAGGUGUCGGCCACGGUGCGACCGUUGUCGGUGCCGUAGGGAAGCCGUGAAGCGAGCCACCUGGGAAGUACGGCCGCAAGGCUGAAACUUAAAGGAAUUGGCGGGGGAGCACCACAACGGGUGGAGCUUGCGGUUUAAUUGGAGUCAACGCCGGAAAUCUCACCGGGAGCGACAGCAGUAUGAAAGCCAGAUUGAAGGUCUUGCUAGACGAGCUGAGAGGAGGUGCAUGGCGUAGUCGUGU